rnacentral:rRNA from 1 species
CUCCCAAUCUAAGAGAUAGUAAGGGUUGUUGUAGACUACGACGUAGAUAGGUCUGGUGUAUAAGUGUAGUGAUACAUUGAGCUAACAGAUACUAAUUGCCCGAGAGGCUUAACUAUACAACGCUCAA